rnacentral:rRNA from 1 species
AAAGAGGGAAAGAGCUUGCUCUUUCCGGAAUUGAGUGGCAAACGGGUGAGUAACACGUAAACAACCUGCCUUCAGGAUGGGGACAACAGACGGAAACGACUGCUAAUACCGAAUAAGUUCCAAGAGCCGCAUGGCCCAUGGAAGAAAAGGUGGCCUCUACCUGUAAGCUAUCGCCUGAAGAGGGGUUUGCGUCUGAUUAGCUGGUUGGAGGGGUAACGGCCCACCAAGGCGACGAUCAGUAGCCGGUCUGAGAGGAUGAACGGCCACACUGGAACUGAGACACGGUCCAGACUCCUACGGGAGGCAGCAGUGGGGAAUCUUCCGCAAUGGGCGAAAGCCUGACGGAGCAACGCCGCGUGAGUGAUGACGGCCUUCGG